AUUGAACGCUGGCGGAAUGCUUUACACAUGCAAGUCGAACGGCAGCACGGGGGCAACCCUGGUGGCGAGUGGCGAACGGGUGAGUAAUGCAUCGGAACGUACCCAAUCGUGGGGGAUAACUGGCCGAAAGGUCAGCUAAUACCGCAUACGUCCUGAGGGAGAAAGCAGGGGAUCGCAAGACCUUGCGCGAUUGGAGCGGCCGAUGUCUGAUUAGCUAGUUGGUGGGGUAAGAGCCUACCAAGGCGACGAUCAGUAGCUGGUCUGAGAGGAUGAUCAGCCACACUGGGACUGAGACACGGCCCAGACUCCUACGGGAGGCAGCAGUGGGGAAUUUUGGACAAUGGGCGCAAGCCUGAUCCAGCCAUUCCGCGUGAGUGAAGAAGGCCU
rnacentral:rRNA from 1 species